AUUUUACUUCAUACCAUUAGUAACUUUGUUUUUUUGUCAUACCUAACAUCUGUGAUGUGCGCACUUUGCAAUCGCCAUUUCUAUUUUGGAGAUGAAGCGAUUCGGAGAGACACGAGAGAACAAAAUGCGAAUGAAACGUGCUGGUGCUACCGACACUCCCUAAAUAAUGCAAACUAAAGCUAUGCAGUAGGAAGAGGAACGGGAACUUUCCUCGUGUACGCUGCUCAUAGAAUAAGUUAUAUAUAAGAGCGAAAUGUUUUUUGGACAAACUAAUCUUUGGAGACUAAAAACGACAGAAAUCCACGUAUCACAACCAGCCGCAGCAAUGAAUUGCUCCCCCUCGAUCGACUCGUCGCCCCAGGAAGCGAUGGAUAUCAGUUUGACUAAUCGUACCGCCAGCAGCGUGAAGCAACUGUUACGCACCGAGCAAUCAUCAGCUAAAAAGAAAAUUACAAUUCGGACAAAAUCAACUCGGAUGAGGAGCAAUAGCACCAGCGCAGAUCGUCUGUGCUGUUUCAGUUACACACUGUCCGAAGCCAAAAUUCUCAUUAGCUGAUGGACAAUAUGUUCGAAAGUUCGAUAGUUCCUAUCACAUCGCCACAACAAUAAUAACAACUACAGCGGGAAGCGUCCGCACUCGCUUAUCACGGCUAGCAACAUUCUACAGCAGCUCUUUGCGAUGGCACUCAGCGACGACUACCAACAGCAGCCCACAAACCCUACCAUCAAAGCACGAUUUCCGAAUCAUAUCCGGUCGCUCAACAACAGAAAAUUCGCGUCCGGGGGUUAACGGAGAGUCAUUUUCGUCCGCUUCCUUGCUGGAACCGUCGGCGAAGAUAACGAUCCGAUGUCCCGCUGCACAAGCGAUGAGGAGGGGCUUCCGGCUCGGCGUGCAAGAGCAACUACUGCGGCACAGAAGAUUCAAAUCAAUCGUCGAUACAACAGAAGAAAAAAUCCACCUGCAACCUAGUGCCAAACCAAGUCAGCUACCUCUAUUGUCAAUGCAUGUUCUCCUCGGACAACUUCAGGAGACUGCUAUCUCGUCGAAUGAAUUGCUCAUGACAGAUUUCGCCACGAAGGAGUAUUUUACUGACAUUGACCUCCAAGGGAGAGAUGUUAGAAAACAGAAAAGAAAGGUGCCUCGAUUCAAAGCUAUAAUGUGGCCGAGUGAAAAACAUACAACAUACAUGGCUACAAUGACCAGUCCGUGAGUGACCAAACUAAAAGAUUUCGGUACCAUGCAGCUUCCAUCGGGAUUACCAGUGAAAAUUGAAAUCAAGCUAUUCCAUGUGUUGAACGCGAUUGUUGCAUUUGGCAACGUAUUCGCGAUAGAGGUACCCGUGAUCAACGUGAGCCACAUCAAGAAGAGCAAAGAGCGUACGACAUACAUCAUCGAGGAUUUUUGUUUCGAUGUCCCACCCGAGUAUGUACGACGUGGUUCCGAUUUCCAUCUUCGAAUCACCUUCGAAGAUAAGGAUGAAUUGAUGUAAUUUGCGAUUCGGGUCGCGUAGCGAGAACGACGAGGUGGAUAUAUGGGAAGCACUGUGAAAACACCUGCCGCACUCAAGGCCUUUUUCAUAACGAAACUCAAUUUUUGUGUUUCAACCAUGUAGUUCUGCCUAGAGGAUGUAGAGGAUGAGGAUGCCCGAAAAAGCAAGCUAUUGAGU